rnacentral:rRNA from 1 species
UACAGAGGGUGCAAGCGUUGUUCGGAAUCAUUGGGCGUAAAGGGCGUGUAGGCGGUCUGUUAAGUCAUGUGUGAAAUCCCUCGGCUCAACCGGGGAACGACGCAUGAAACUGACAAGCUAGAGUACCAAAGAGGGGGGUGGAAUUCCCGGUGUAGCGGUGAAAUGCGCAGAUAUCGGGAAGAACACCCGUGGCGAAGGCGGCUCUCUGGGACGGUACUGACGCUGAGACGCGAAAGCGUGGGGAGCAAACAGG